rnacentral:rRNA from 1 species
GCAGCAGCCGCGGUAAUACGUAGGUGGCAAGCGUUGUCCGGAAUUAUUGGGCGUAAAGGGCUCGCAGGCGGUUUCUUAAGUCUGAUGUGAAAGCCCCCGGCUCAACCGGGGAGGGUCAUUGGAAACUGGGAAACUUGAGUGCAGAAGAGGAGAGUGGAAUUCCACGUGUAGCGGUGAAAUGCGUAGAGAUGUGGAGGAACACCAGUGGCGAAGGCGACUCUCUGGUCUGUAACUGACGCUGGGGAGCGAAAGCGUGGGGAGCGAACAGGAUUAGAUACCCGAGUAGUCCCUGUCUCUUAUAA